rnacentral:misc_RNA from 1 species
GGGUGGUGGGGAGUCAUUCUUUAUCUCUGAGCCUUUGAGACUAGCGUCGGGCAGUUCGAGAUUUUGGCCUUGGUUUAGAUGUUGUCCCAAAGCUAGCCCCAGAUCCUGUUACAGCCCCUGAUGCAAAUGGUGUUGAAAAUAGGGAACCUCCAGCAGAAGUGGUAGAACUAAAGGAUGUAGCAGCACCGCUAAAUGAUGAGGGAGUUGAAGCAGAACCAAGUAAUGAUGCUGAUGAUAAGCCAAAAAGUGAAGCUUGGGGGGAAGCACCAGAUGACCCAAACAAAGA